UACGUAGGGGCCAAGCGUUUGUCCGGAUUUAUUGGGCGUAAAGAGCUCGUAGGCGGUUUGGACAGUCGGGUGUGAAAGCUUGGGGCUUAACUCCAGGUCUGCAUUCGAUACGGGCUGGCUAGAGGUAGGUAGGGGAGAACGGAAUUCCUGGUGUAGCGGUGAAAUGCGCAGAUAUCAGGAGGAACACCGGUGGCGAAGGCGGUUCUCUGGGCCUUACCUGACGCUGAGGAGCGAAAGCGUGGGGAGCGAACAGG
rnacentral:rRNA from 1 species